AUAAAUGGUAAAGCUAGGACGUGGAUCCAGAUCUAAUGCAAAAUGUGGCUUUAAAAUACUCCAUACUCUCUCCCCAGAUUUGGAUGUGUCAGAAGUGAGAUUUAAAUAUGACCUCUGAAUAGAGAUCCAUCAGGGAAGGAAGCCCUUUCAGUGUGCCUUGGGAUGCCCAAGUGGCCAGACAUCCUGAUGUUUGGCAGCUCACAGACUAUCCAGUUUCUCGUUUGAGCUUGGGGAGGUGGCUUGCCUCAGUUCCCC
rnacentral:lncRNA from 10 species